rnacentral:rRNA from 1 species
UACGUAGGGUGCAAGCGUUGUCCGGAAUUAUUGGGCGUAAAGAGCUCGUAGGCGGUCUGUCACGUCGGAUGUGAAAAUCCAGGGCUUAACCCUGGACCUGCAUUCGAUACGGGCAGACUAGAGUUCGGUAGGGGAGAAUGGAAUUCCCGGUGUAGCGGUGAAAUGCGCAGAUAUCAGGAGGAACACCGGUGGCGAAGGCGGGUCUCUGGGCCGAUACUGACGCUGAGGCGCGAAAGCGUGGGGAGCAAACAGG